CAUAAUACAGAAUAAACAAGUUUAUUUUAAAAUUCUGUAAUUUCAAUUUUGAGACAGUUAAGAGGAGGAUUUGUUUUAAAUACAUGUUUUUCACAUUUUUGGAAACAUUAUAAAAUGUUGUAUUUUUCAUACCCCACACCCUUUUAUAUCAGGACAUUCCCCCUUUCUUCUUCCCCUCAGAAAAUUCUGUAAGAUUAAGGGUCAUAUAAGGGCUCUUCGCCCUGAAGCCCAUGAGAGAAAAAGAACCCCAUAAACC
rnacentral:lncRNA from 1 species